AUUGAACGCUGGCGGCAGGCCUAACACAUGCAAGUCGAACGAGUGGCGGACGGGUGAGUAAUGUCUGGGGAACUGCCCGAUGGAGGGGGAUAAAUACUGGAAAAGGUAGCUAAUACCGCAUACCAUCGGAUGUGCCCAGAUGGGAUUAGAUAGUAGGUGGGGGAACGGCUCACCUAGGCGACGGUCCCUAGCUGGGGGGAGAGGAUGACCAGACACACUGGAACUGAGACACGGUCCAGACGCCUACGGGAGGCAGCAUUGGGGAAUAUUGCACAAUGGGCGCAAGCCUGAUGCAGCCAUGCCGCGUGUAUGAAGAAGGCCUUCGGGUUGUAAAGUACUUUCAGCGAGGAGGCGUUACUCGCAGAAGAAGCACCGGCUAACUCCGUGCCAGCAGCCGCGGUAAUAC
rnacentral:rRNA from 1 species